GACGAACGCUGGCGGCGUGCUUAACACAUGCAAGUCGAACGAAGAGCGACGGAAGCUUGCUUCUAUCAAUCUUAGUGGCGAACGGGUGAGUAACGCGUAAUCAACCUGCCCUUCAGAGGGGGACAACAGUUGGAAACGACUGCUAAUACCGCAUACGUUCUAAUCUCGGCAUCGAGGAUGGAUGAAAGGUGGCCUCUACAUGUAAGCUAUCACUGAAGGAGGGGAUUGCGUCUGAUUAGCUAGUUGGAGGGGUAACGGCCCACCAAGGCGAUGAUCAGUAGCCGGUCUGAGAGGAUGAACGGCCACAGUGGGACUGAGACACGGCCCAGACUCCUACGGGAGGCAGCAGUGGGGAAUCUUCCGCAAUGGACGAAAGUCUGACGGAGCAACGCCGCGUGAGUGAUGACGGCCUUCGGGUUGUAAAGCUCUGUUAAUCGGGACGAAAGGCCUUCUUGCGAAUAGGGAGAAGGAUUGACGGUACCGGAAUAGAAAGCCACGGCUAACUACGUG
rnacentral:rRNA from 1 species